UACAGAGGGUGCAAGCGUUGUUCGGAAUCAUUGGGCGUAAAGCGCACGUAGGCGGCUUUGCAAGUCAGGUGUGAAAGCCUGGGGCUCAACCCCAGAAGUGCAUUUGAAACUGCAGAGCUUGAGUCUUGGAGAGGGCAGUGGAAUUCCGAGUGUAGAGGUGAAAUUCGUAGAUAUUCGGAGGAACACCAGUGGCGAAGGCGACUGCCUGGACAAAGACUGACGCUGAGGUGCGAAAGCGUGGGGAGCGAACAGG
rnacentral:rRNA from 1 species